rnacentral:rRNA from 2 species
GUCAGCUCGUGUCGUGAGAUGUUGGGUUAAGUCCCGCAACGAGCGCAACCCUUGACCUUAGUUGCCAGCAUUCAGUUGGGCACUCUAAGGUGACUGCCGGUGACAAACCGGAGGAAGGUGGGGAUGACGUCAAAUCAUCAUGCCCCUUAUGACCUGGGCUACACACGUGCUACAAUGGAUGGUACAAAGGGCUGCGAGACCGCGAGGUUAAGCCAAUCCCAUAAAACCAUUCUCAGUUCGGAUUGCAGGCUGCAACUCGCCUGCAUGAAGCUGGAAUCGCUAGUAAUCGCGGAUCAGCAUGCCGCGGU